rnacentral:rRNA from 1 species
GCAGCGAUGUGAAGCAAAUCGCACCAAAGCCGGUCCCAGUUCGGAUAAGAGGCUGAAACUCGCCUCUUUGAAGUCGGAAUCGCUAGUAAUCGCAGAUCAGCAUGUUGCGGUGAAUACGUUUCCUGGUCUUGUACACACCGCCCGUCAAACCAUGAGAGUCGCCAACACCCGAAGUCCGCUUUGCGGCCUAAGGUGGGGGGAGAUGAUUGGGGUUAAGUCGUAACAAGGUAAC